GCCCACACACUCCACAUGCUCGCCGACAGAUGAGCUGAGCGCCAGUUAGAUGCACUUGGAUUACCGGCUGCUGAACUGAAACAACGUCUCUGCCCAUAAAAAAAUAUGUUAAACAGUGACGUUUCUGAUUACACUUCUUUUUAAUGACAGGAUAUAUCUCCGACGGAGAUAAAACACAAGAUGCUGUGAAUGCAUCACUUGUUUUAGUGCCAGACGAUGGAAUUCAGUUUGAGGAGCCCAGCGUAAGAAAGUGAAGUACGGAUUUACAUUCUCAUCUGCGUAAAGAUAAAGUCAGGAUUUGAGAGCAUGGGUUGGCAAGAGACCCUAUGGCUUUUGACAUCAUUUAUCCUGAGCAUAACAAAAGCUGGAACAACAGAGACGAAAGCAGAUCCCGGAGCUGACUUAUCACUUUCUCCUGUCAUGAUGGCAAUGGAGAGAGAAAGGCUGAUCAUGACUCAGUCUCAGUACAAAUGUCUGGAGCUGCUGAGCCGAGAUGGAUCCCAUAAUAAAACAGGAUCGUUCUGCAGCAGAUUCUGGGACGGUUUGCUUUGUUGGGAUGAAACUCCAGCUGGAACCUUUGCCUCACAAAACUGCCCCGAUUACCCCAGCUUUGACCCCUUGGAAAAAGUAACCAAAUACUGUGACGAAUCUGGCAACUGGGUACACAGCGCAUCCAUCAAUAAAACAUGGUCCCACUGCCUCACGUUCUCAAAGGAUAAAAUUAAGACGUUACCAGUUCACGGCUUUUCAGAGACAGAGACGGAGCUGGAUCCCACAGCGGAGAGCAAGGUCAGCCCUGUAGUGAUUCAGAAAGCGGAGGAGAGGAAGAUGAUCAUCGACGGUCAAUAUAAAUGCUUUGAGAAAAUGAACAGGGACCAGCCUUACAACAAAUCAGGUUUAUACUGUAACCGCACGUGGGACGGCUGGCUGUGCUGGGACGAUACUCCAGCAGGGACGUUCACGUCGCAGUACUGCCCCAAUUACUUUGCUGACUUUGACUCCACUGAAAAGGUUACCAAGUAUUGUGAUGAGACUGGCAACUGGUUCAGACACCCUGAGACCAACAGGACAUGGUCAAACUACACCCUCUGCAUCGCUCACACCAAGGACAAGCUCAAGAUGGCGUAUAUUUUGUAUUACAUGGCGAUUGUGGGUCACGCUCUUUCUAUAGUGUCUCUCCUCAUCUCGCUGGCCAUUUUCUUCUAUUUCAGGAGUCUGAGCUGUCAGAGAAUCACACUCCACAAGAACCUGUUCUGCUCGUAUGUGCUCAACUCAGCCUUCACCAUCGUCAACCUCAUCACGGUGGUCAACAACCCUAAAGUGGUCCAGAGGAACCCGAUCAGCUGCAAGGUGCUGCACUUCUUCCACAUGUACAUGCUGGGCUGUAACUAUUUCUGGAUGCUCUGUGAAGGGAUUUACCUGCACACACUGAUCGUGGUGGCUGUGUUCGCAGAGGAGCAGCACCUACACUGGUAUUAUCUUUUGGGCUGGGGAUUCCCCCUGGUGCCUGCAUCCAUCCAUGCUGUGGCGAGGAAGAAAUACUUUGAUGACAACUGCUGGAUGAGUGUGGAGACGCAUCUGCUCUACGUGGUUCACGGCCCCAUUAUGGCAGCUUUAUUAGUCAAUUUAUUUUUUCUACUGAACAUAGUACGGGUUUUGGUGACUAAACUGAGAGAUACGCACCGAGCGGAGUCUAACAUGUACAUGAAGGCAGUGAGAGCCACUCUCAUUCUGGUGCCCUUAUUGGGCAUUCAGUUCGUCAUUAUCCCUUGGCGACCGGAGAACCGCUUGGCGGGAGAGAUAUAUGAUUACAUCAUGCACAUAUUAAUGCACUACCAGGGUCUGCUGGUGGCAACCAUAUUCUGCUUUUUCAACGGAGAGGUCCAGGGAGCUUUGAAAAGGCAGUGGAUGCAAUAUAAAGCGCAGUGGGGUCAGAGACGGCGUGAACACUGCUCCAUGAGAUCUACAUCCUACACCGCAACCUCCAUCACUGAGGUGCCUGCGUUCAUGUUUCACCACGACUGCAACAGCGAACACUUGAACGGUAAACAAACAGAGGACUCCGAGCUCGUGGCUCUCAAGACGGGCGAAACGUACGCGUGAACAAAACAGAUAAUACUAGGAAAAGAAGUGAUUCAAUCAAACCAGAGACGGCAGACUCCUUUCUGACUGAACGUUCGUAAACUCCCCCAUCUCAGCACUUAGAGAGCCGACAGCAGAACAUUCACAGUCUGCGUGUUGGCAAAUCUGUUGAAAUAUUACACCAGGCUUUGUUUAUACUCUCUGCAGCUCUGCUUCUGUGAGGGAAAAUGCAAAGGAAAUCUGAAAAAUAAUGACUUUUCGGAAAAUAUGUCAUUUUAAAGCUGCUAGUUUUCACAUCCUUUUGGGGUCUGUGGCCGCAAACAAACAAAAAAAGUUACUUUGCAAAAACCAAAGGAUGUGCGGAUUUGUGGGACUCCGAGACUGUUUCGCUACAGCUACUGGGAAAUGGUUCUCUAGAGGACAAGCUUCGCUCAUGCGUCUGCGUCUCUGAACAAAGGAAAGUUCUUCUGUGCCUGAAUCCUGUUCCCGAUGCCGUUUGAUGGUCAUUUCGCAUCUGAAAAUAGCUUUUUAUCUGUGUUGCAAGAUUUUUAUGACUGCUUUAUUGUUUUUGCAGCUGUGCUUUUCUGCCUUUUCUUUGUCUUGAGAGCGGGUGUGGAGGGAAAGGAUGAACAACGUGGACCAUUUAAAAGCUCAGGAAGAAGCUCAGAGUUGUUGAUCUGAACGCAGAACGCAGACCGUCACGUCUCUGCAUUCAGAACUGCACAGAAGAACAUUUCAUCAAUGCCAUCAUCAAGGACUGUGAUUUUCUAAAGGCAGACUGUAAGACGGAACAAUCACGGUUCAAUAAAAAAUACCAUAAAGCGGAUGAUAACCUGCAAUUAAAUGCAUUGUUUGGAAUCUUUUCAACUAAAUGUAGCAGAAUUCUAGCUGAGCAGGAGGAUUUUUUCAUGUAUAGUUAAAACUUAUAAGUCUUAUAACUCUCAGUAUCUUUGCAUCAUGAUUCAUCAAUGAUUUUACAUGAUCAUUGUUCUGUAUAUAAGCAUCAAAAGCUUGGACUCACUGUGAAAUGAUUGCGUUUUAAAUGUAAAUGGAUUGUUUUAUUCACUUAGGAUGCAUUAAGAACAUAAAAAAAUAAAGUAAUCCAUCUCUAAUGUUAUAAACGUUAGACAGCUCUAUUUCAUGCAGUAAAUUUCCUCAGAGAAUCAUCCAAGUGCAGAAUUAAUAGUUUAUGUGUUUUAGCAUCAGUUUAUUUAGAUUCAGCUGCAGUUUAAUGUCACGCUUUCUGUAGCUCUUACUGUUGAUGUUAUUUCCCUAAUGAUUUUUUUAAUCAAUUUUUUCCCACAACUUCAACCAUCCAUGAAGAGUUUACAUUAUACUUUCUUUUCUUGAAACAGCUGCUAAUAAAUAAAACAAAUAAAUGCAUAUGCUAUGCAAUUA